UUCCUGGCUGCUGGAGCCGGAGCAGGCAGUUUUAUUUUCUUUUUUCCACUUCAUGCGCCUGUUCUGGAACCAGAUUUUGAUCUGUCUCUCCGUGAGACACAGGGCAUGGGCGAUCUCGAUGCGUCUCCUCCUCGUCAGGGAAUGUUUUGGGCACAGCAGUGGCUUCUGCUUGGCUGCGGCUGACGUGGAGGCUGCUACCCCCGGGUGUGCACAACAUGGGAAGAGCCUCAACUCUACCGCAGCCCCUGCGCUGCUAUUCCGCUGUUUGGAGAGGGUCUGGAAAGGGCCCGACCCGUAAUUCCACCCCCCUUCUCCAACUCGACGUUUCCUGAGUCCAAGUGGAAAUAAAGGCACAAUAUAGCGCUUGUGAUCCCCCUCUA